CCGUGCCUGCCAAAUUGCUCCCACCGGCAUAACUCCGUGUUGUUGGUACCAGUGAGUGAAGCAACAGAUAGUCAAAAGAAGAAGAGGUGCGAUACAGGGAAAGGGGUCAAGGAGAACUGGAGCAAAGAUUGGCUGAGAAGCUUGCUACGGUUAGGAGCAUAGAGAGCACAUCAAUCUAUGCAUCUGACAAAGUUUGAUCCUUGUGUGAAGCGACUAGUGCACAUUGUGAUUUCCCGGUGCUUGCGUUACCCAAGUGAUGUUUUCUGGAGGACAAAGGGGUCAUCAUCGAUUCGUUGAUCUCUCGUGUACUCUUUCAGCAGCCCCAUCCUCACCCUGAAUGCUUCCUUUUACGUUGUAUUCCCUGGUUAUAUGAUAUAUUGUCUGUAGGCGCUUCUAGGACAUAUGGUGAUGUGUGAUGUACUGAUUUAGGGAGCCCUAGUGAACUGUGCAACAUAUGCAUGAUAUGUCUUACGACAAUUUAGCUGCAUGUACUGAUUUUUUAUAA